rnacentral:rRNA from 1 species
AUUGAACGCUGGCGGCAGGCCUAACACAUGCAAGUCGAACGGAGCGUCGGACGGGGGGGUAAUGCCUAGGACUCUGCCUGUGAGUGGCGGAUAACUUCCGGAGACGGGCGCUUAUACCGCAUACUUUCAGGUCACUCUCGGGGGGAUUAGCUAGUUGGUGGGGUAAAGGCGUACCAAGGCGACGAUGCGUAACCGGUCUGAGAGGAUGAUCAGUCACACUGGAACUGAGACACGGUCCAGACUCCUACGGGAGGCAGCAGUGGGGAAUAUUCGACAAUGGGCGAAAGCCUGAUCCAGCAACGCCGCGUGUGUGAAGAAGGUUUUCGGAUUGUAAAGCACUUUGGUUAGGGAAGCGGUACCUAAAGAAUAAGCACCGGCUAACUUCGUGCCAGCAGCCGCGGUAAUUC